GAGGUGAUCUAUCCCGUGAGGUCAUG
rnacentral:piRNA from 1 species